AAGAGUAAAGUAACCUCUUUUCCUAAGUCCUGGUUUUGGCGUUCAACCCCGCGUUUUUUGAGUGAUAAAUAAAUAAAAAACAGUUAAUUUUCCCUAUCUUAUUUAUUAGAUUACAUAGAUUAAUCAUUCUAAAAAAAGUUAAAUCAAAAACAAUUUACUGAAGUAUCUAAUUAAUGGCAGUUUUAUGUGGUUAGUGUUUCAUAUUUUGAAAAUGUGUAGACCAAUUUCUAAAAAAAUGAAUAAAUUUAUAUGAAUGCUGAUAAGCAUUAUAAUAUAAAAAUUCAACUUAUUUACAGCAGUAAUUAGUAACAAAGUUUAUUAUAUAAAUAUCAUAAUUCAAACUAUUAACAUUAAAAUUUAAAAACGUCGGCCAUUAUGGAUUUUCUGUUACUAAAAUUACAUUUAUAACUUUUUAAUAUUACAAACGACAAAAUGUCUAAUUUGGAAAAUAAUUUGCAACGCAAACCACCUGUAAAUUUUUGCCAAGACAAAAAUCAACAAUCACCACAAGAAAUAAAUUUGUCUAAUUCAUGUCAUGAAAAAAUUGAGAGCACAUUUAAUUCUAAUAAAACUGGCAAUUUCUUAAAUGGAAAUAGUGCUAUAAAAACUGAAAUUCAUGAAAAACAGUAUUAUUCUCAUCAAUCUGAUUCAGAGGAAACUUCAACACCAGGGUCAAAUACUAUACUCAUUACUACACAUAGCUAUUCUCCACGACUUCCAGCGGCUAAUACGAAGCAUUUGAAUAAUAAUAAGAGUUCUUCAUCAUCAAUAACUAUAGUAACAACGCACAAUUCGAGUGGUAGUGUUUCAGCGACAACCACAACAAAUAAUGGCAGUACAACAUCUAUUAAAAGUACAAGUGGUGAUUGCAUCCCAGGGUCAUAUCAAAAUUCCUUGAAUGGUCAUACUAGCGCGAAUUCGCCAGUUGUUUUGGAAGGUAUAAAUAUAUUAAUAAAUAACCAUUUUAAUGAGCCAAGUAGUAGCAACGUUAGUAAUAAUAGUAAUGAGUCUUCAAAUAAAAAUAUUGAUUUAUUGGACCAAAAAAACCGCGUUAACUCUUCUACCUCAGCUACAGAAAAAGAAGCAAAUGAAACAAUUAAGAGUGAGAAAAGUGAUAUUCAAACGGAACCUGAUUCCACCACAAAUGGUUUAUCACCAGAUAAAUCUUUAACUUUAAAGAAUUCAGUAUCAAAUUCUGACACUGGAUUUGGCAGUAGUAGUACUAGUAGUUUUUGUAGCAGCCAUAGCAGUAGUAGCAGUUGUAUAAGCAAUGAAAGCACAAAUAAUUAUAAGCCGAAAGUGUAUAAUUUCGCUGCCAAUAUGGAUGUUCUGGUACAAAAAAAGGAUGGAAAAUUUUACUUGGGAACAAUAAAAGACGUUUAUGCUGUUGAUGGAAAAUGUAUGAUAAAUUUUGAUGACAGCUCAGAGUAUUUAGCGGAUUUUGAUGAGCUUAAACGUUUGAGUUGCGAUUCAGAGAUAGAAUCAUCCCCGAUGUGUGUUGUCUGUAAGAAAUUUAAUGAAAAUGAUAUAGUGGAAUCGUGUGAAAAAUGCUCAAGAGGAUAUCACAGAAUGUGCGCUGAAAGUGGCUUUAGACAUGGAAUUUGGACAUGCAAAAUGUGCUGUGCUGAAAAUGGUUUAAGAACGGCAGAGGAAAGAAACACAGGUUUGAUUUUAAAUCGCCCUUUCAAGAAUAAGCAACUUCAAUUUCCAUAUGAUAUUCAAAGUUUAACGUGGGAUAGUAAACAUCGGAUCAAUAAUCAAGAAAUUUAUUGCUACUGCGGGAAACAUGGCAGAUGGGAUGAUAAAAUGUUGCAAUGUUUAAAGUGUUUACAAUGGUUUCACGAGAAAUGUAUUCAAUCUUUAUCGUAUCCACUUCUUUACGGUGAUCGGUUUUACGUUUUUGUGUGCUCUAUUUGCAACCAUGGUACGGAGGUGGUUAGACGUCUUAAAUUUGGUUGGAUAGAUCUGGUUCACUUAAUUAUGUUUAAUCUAACGAAACUUGAAAAUGACAAAAAAUAUCAUCAUAUUACGAAAACGAUUGCACCUUAUGCAAUCCAAAAUUGGUCGAAUUUUCAAUUAUCUGUAUCGAUGAAUAAUUUAUCUCAAAAGGAAAUUCAAAAGAAAAUAGUUAAUGUCCUAAACAAUAGUAGCAGAUUCAAAAGCGGAAAAGAAACUAAAAAAGGUUUCGUUUUUUGGGGAUUAAGAACUCUAAUACCUCCAUCACUACCAAAAAUUGCAAUUCCAAAAGGUGCAACUAAAAUAACAGAUCAGUUCCUUAAAUCGGUUUUGAAAUUGAAAUUUCUUUCGCCAACUAAAAAAUCGAAAAAUGCAAAUCUAGAAUCUGAGGAAGACGCAUUUAUAGACGACAAUGAAUCUAAAUUUAGUAGUGAUUUAAAAUUUUCAUCAGAAGAUGAAAUACCGAUAAAAAAUAUGAUUGAAAAAGAACUGGGUACAAUCAAAAGGGAAGUUAUCGAUAGUAAAACUGCAUUAAGUUCGCCUAUGGAACCUGGACAAAAGGAACAAAAAGAACAAUCGCGACGUAAGAAAAAACACACUUUCUUUCCAAGACUGUCAAACCCAUUAAUAAUUAAAAGUGAUACUGUCACUAAUUUUAAUAAUAAUGUUAAUAUUAGUAAUAAUAAUAUAAAUGAGAAAUCAGUAGGUUUAACUGUUGAUCUAAGUUUAUGCUGUGAUUCAUCCGAUGACAAUUCCAGUCUUGGACCUUUAGAUUUAAGAAUUCCGCCGCCUAAAAAUUUUUUUGGUCGAAAUAAUCCUUUUCGCCACAUUACACCGAAAAAGAUGCAAGAUAAUAGUAGCAGUUAUACUGAAAAUAACAGUAGUAGUACAAAAAAUUUUAACACACUCCCAUCAAAAUUAAAUCUAAAUUCAAUGCAUUCUAAAUGUUGUAUUAAUGAUGUUAGCAAGUCAAUUGAUUUAAGUUCAAAAUUAGUUGCUCUUAAAAAGUCUAGCGUGAAUUUGUUCAAUAGUAGACUACCGACUGAUUUUCAAGCUGCUGGGCAGUUUAGAAUUGUAAGAACCAUUAAAAGAAGAUUGAGUGCGAAAGAUUUAGUAAUUGGACCAAAUCAAGAAAUAAAAAAGCGACGUCUUAGAAGAUCAUCUGGAUCGAGUAAUGUUGAGGUAAUUAGCACAUCAAUUCAAUCUGUUUCGUCGUCAAAAUCCAAAAACAAUAUCAUAGCUACAUACCCCGUCGGUACACCAUUUAAUUUUAAUUCAAUAUCAGGUUUGAAAGUUAAGCCAAUUUUUAACAAAAAUAUGCCUUCAACAGUAAAUUCUUUACCUGGAUCAGUAUCUGGGCAUACAAUCUCAAAUACUCCAUUAGCAACAUCACCAAUAUUAGUUGAUAGUAGCAAUCCAUUUUCGAGUUUUUCUAAUAUGUCGAAUGUCCAGAAUUUAAAACAUCGUAGCUUACGUAAACGUGAUGAUAAAAAUUAUGCGGAAAACCGACGAAAUUCCAGUUCAAGUGCAAACAGUGCAGCCCUAACUUAUAAUUCAUCAAUGAACGCAGCGAAUAAUAAUUACAACAGUAACAACACCUGUAACAUUAUUUCCGGUGAAUCUAGUAGGAAUAAUAGCUUUGAGCAAUCAACUGAAGAUGAACUAUCUGAUUUGCAAUCUUCAGUUAACAUGUACUUCGGUGCUGUAGAGCGCAUACGAAAUGGUGAAAAAUUUAUUGUGCGCGGAAAAAGAACAUUAACAAACGGCAAGAUACAAUAUUUAAUGGAAUGGGAAGGUUGUUCACAAGUAGGUCAAUAAUGUGAAUAUUAGCCUACUUAAAAUCAAAUACUUCAAUAUUCUGUUCGUGUUUUUUUAUCUUUGUUUUUUUUUUGUGAAAUUAGUCAAAUUUUUGUUCUUGGUUUUUCUCGGAUUGAAAUGUCUUUUUAAAUAACAUAUUGUCUCCGACAUAAUUUUUUUUUUGUUGAUUUGAUGAUUUAAUUUUUAAAUAAUAAAAAACUUAUUAAAGCGCAUUAUGAACCAAGGUACUGCCAACUUUUUUAAUAUUUAUAAUUUUAUUCUAUUUUUAUGUUUUUAAAAAUUUAUCUCAAUUAAUACAUUAUGUGUUGCAUGUUGUUUUAGUUGUUUUAACUAAGUAAUUGAAUUGAUUAAAAUAUCUAAAAUAAAUUUCAAAAUCAAGUAAAAAUUUAGGGCGCUAAAUUUAACAACAUCUAUAAAUUUUAAUAUUUUAGUUUUUAGUUUAUUCAGUAUUUUAUUCCUUCGUUCUUAAUUUCUAAUAAUGUUUUGUUUAAAAUUUCGAUUGACAUCCGUCAAAUUUUUUUUUCAAAUAUUAAAAGAAAUGAUUAAACUAAUUUGUAAAACCAAUUUAUGAAAAUGGUAUUAGAAAUGUUAUAUUAGGGAAACUAUUGGAUAUGUAUGCAAUUACGGAUACAUUAAAACAGACACCAGAGAUAAAACAAGAAAAUCACGAUGGAAAAAAUAACUCUUCAAAGAGCACUUUUCAACAUUUCAUAGUUUACAAAUAUCAACCACCCGGUGCUUUUUAACUCGUGAAUUUAUACAUUUUUUCUAAUUUAAAAUGGUUGAACGAUUAAUUAUGAAUGAAGCAGAGUUUUACACGUUUUUGAAAACCUAUUCUGUCAUUUCCUGUUACGUAUCUGAUUGCAAAGCUAUCCGAAAUUUAUGAAAUAAGUAAGACUAGUUUAAUUCAUUAUCAUAAUUAAAAAAGAAUUAUUCCAGUAUACAGUACAUAUACAUGUAUAUAUACAUUCAAACGUUUAAAAAGAACUGAAUUAAUAUAAAUAAUCUAUUUAAAUUUUUUAUAGGUAUUAUGUAUACAUACGUAUGCUUAUAUAAAUAACAUUUAAACAUAUAAAUUGACGAAAUCUUAAUUUCAAGUUAGGAUUUUUACAUUUUUUCUGUUUGAAACAUAUCAUUUUGCAACCUUGUUUAUUAAAAAUAAAACAACCUUUCAGUGUCGU